rnacentral:misc_RNA from 1 species
UUUCCGUAGGUGAACCUGCGGAAGGAUCGUUAUCGAAAUACUUAUUUAGCGUUCCGUGCUAUCCCAUUGUUUUAUUUACCCUGUUGCUUCCACUGGAUGAGUUUCCAUACCUUGUGUUUGAGAAACUUUGGCUUGUGUAAGAUUCAUUCACGGCCAGCCAGUGAGAAGACCAUUUACAAAACCCUGUUAAGAACCAAUUGUCUGAAUAUUUUACUCCAAUGAAAUAAAACUUUCAACAACGGAUCUCUAGGCUCUUGGAUCGAUGAAGAACGCAGC